AGAAGUCACCGUUAGGGUUAUGCAAAUGCUUUGCAUAGUAGGUGCGAUUCCUUCGACUUCUACCUUGUUUUGCCUAUAUGUCCACUGCCCGUAUGAGAGAAUCGUACGC
rnacentral:misc_RNA from 1 species